GAGCAAGGGCUUCAAAAUUAUAAGAUGAUGCGAAUUUGUCAUUGGAGGUUAGCAGUAUUGUAUAAAAGUUGCGAUUCUCUAUGACUUUCAAAUCUCUCUAUUGAUUUUGAACUCAAACAAGUCACCACAUU